UCUUCCUGGACUGGAGACUCGGGCGGAUCCAACUCUACCUGAACCGGGUACACGGGUUGUUCCACUUCAGAGGGUAAGUACAUCAUUCUCCCUUCUCGUGCUUCAGUCCCUAAUUCCCCAUUUUCAGUCCCAUAUCGUGCCUCAAUCCCUAACCCUUGACUUCUUCUUUCCCAAUUCCUUUUUCAUUUCCACGCUCAUCUCCUCCGACUGUGACAAUACCCGCCGCUAGAAACGAUCCUUGUCCCCAAGGAUCAAAGCCUGGAAACUGGCCUCUGAGGACAAUAUAAUCUUCCCACGUAUCACUGGUUUAAUCGAUGUUUGUCCAUCACACCAACAAUUGCGUGACAGGAGGAUCCAUUGAAGACACUGCUGAGUCACCAACGUGUUUCUUCAGGAGACUCACAUGAAAAACUGGAUGCAAUCGUGAUGAAUCUGGGCCAGUGAAGUUUGGCGAUAUGGUUGCAACUUCAGGUUAUUGGGCCACAUGACUUGAGCUGCUCCAACUCUUCCUGGACUGAAGACUCGGGCAAAUCCAACUCUACCUAAACCGGGUACACAGGUUGCUCCACAUAAGAGGGUAAGUACAUCAUUCCCCCUUCUCGUGCUUCAAUCCCUAAUUCCCCAUUUUCAAUCUCAUCUCGUGCCUCAAUCCCCAACCCUUGACUUCUUCUUUCCCCAAUUCCUCAUUUUCAAUCCCAUCUCGUGCCUCAAUCCCCAACCCUUGACUUCUUCUUUCCCCAAUUCCUUCUUCAUUUCCACGCUCAUAUCCUCCGACUGUGACACACACCUCUUGGACAAUUGAAUGGCAUUCCCACCAACUCCAGUAAAAGAGUCAACAACAAU